rnacentral:rRNA from 1 species
AGUACGAUCGCAAGAUUAAAACUCAAAGGAAUUGACGGGGGCCCGCACAAGCAGCGGAGCAUGCGGCUUAAUUCGACGCAACGCGAAGAACCUUACCAAGGCUUGACAUAUAGCGAAAAGUGGCAGAGAUGUCAUGUCCGCAAGGGCGCUAUACAGGUGGUGCAUGGUUGUCGUCAGCUCGUGUCGUGAGAUGUUGGGUUAAGUCCCGCAACGAGCGCAACCCUCGUUCUGUGUUGCCAGCAUUUAGUUGGGGACUCACAGGAGACUGCCGGGGUCAACUCGGAGGAAGGUGGGGAUGACGUCAAAUCAUCAUGCCCCUUAUGUCUUGGGCUGCACGCAUGCUACAAUGGCCGGUACAAAGGGCUGCAAAACCGUAAGGUGGAGCGAAUCCCAUAAAGCCGGUCUCAGUUCGGAUUGGGGUCUGCAACUCGACCCCAUGAAGUUGGAGUUGCUAGUAAUCGUAGAUCAGCAACGCUACGGUGAAUACGUUCCCGGGCCUUGUACACACCGCCCGUCACGUCACGAAAGUCGGUAACACCCGAAGUCAGUGGCCCAACCGCAAGGGGGGAGCUGCCGAAGGUGGGAUCGGUGAUUGGGACG